CGGGGCGUGGCCCAGCGGCUACGGCACCUGGUUUGGGACCAGGGCAUCGUGAGUUCGAGUCUCACCGCCCCGA
rnacentral:tRNA from 1 species